UACGUAGGGGGCAAGCGUUGUCCGGAAUCAUUGGGCGUAAAGAGCGUGUAGGCGGCCUGGUAAGUCCGCUGUGAAAGUCCAGGGCUCAACCCUGGAAUGCCGGUGGAAACUGUCAGGCUCGAGUCCGGAAGAGGCGAGUGGAAUUCCUGGUGUAGCGGUGAAAUGCGUAGAUAUCAGGAGGAACACCGGUGGUGUAGACGGCUUUCUGGACCGAGACUGACGCUGAGGCGCGAAAGCGUGGGGAGCAAACAGG
rnacentral:rRNA from 1 species